rnacentral:rRNA from 1 species
CGUGUAGGCGGCUUGGUAGGUCGGACGUGAAAGUCCCGGGCUCAACCCGGGAAGUGCAUUCGAAACUGCUAGGCUUGAGUAAGAGAGAGGAAAGUGGAAUUCCUGGUGUAGAGGUGAAAUUCGUAGAUAUCAGGAGGAACACCGGUGGCGAAGGCGACUUUCUGGCUCUAUACUGACGCUGAGACGCGAAAGCGUGGGUAGCAAACAGGAUUAGAUACCCUGGUAGUCC